GCUUGUCUCAAAGAUUAAGCCAUGCAUGUCUAAGUAUAACUCUUUUACUUUGAAAACUGCGAACGGCUCAUUAUAUCAGUUAUAGUUUCUUUGAUAGUCCCUUACUACUUGGAUACCCGUAGUAAUUCUAGAGCUAAUACAUGCAUCAAUACCCAACUGUUCGCGGAAGGGUAGUAUUUAUUAGGUAUAGACCAACCCUCCUCGGAGGUGCUUUGGUGAUUCAUAAUAACUUUUCGAAUCGCAUGGCCUUGUGCCGGCGAUGGAUCAUUCAAGUUUCUGCCCUAUCAGCUUCCGACGGUAGGAUAUGGGCCUACCGUGGCAAUGACGGGUAACGGAGAAUUAGGGUUCGAUUCCGGAGAGGGAGCCUGAGAAACGGCUACCACAUCUAAGGAAGGCAGCAGG
rnacentral:rRNA from 1 species